rnacentral:tRNA from 1 species
AAAGGGAGACCUAAUUCGGGUAGAAGACGAAAAAAUAGUAGUCGAAACCAAGAAUCAAUCCCAAAAGGUCGGAGCGAGGCAAAAUUGGCUUUCAAACUAGGUUCUGGGUUCAUAAAAGACCUGAAUCAGGAACAAGGGCUAUUAGCUCAGGUGGUUAGAGCGCACCCCUGAUAAGGGUGAGGUCCCUGGUUCGAGUCCAGGAUGGCCCACCUGCACAGGUGGCAAAAACAAGAGAAGCGAGGAAUCAGCACCUUAUCUUACUUAUAUAGUAGGAGAGAAUGCUGGCUCUGAGUACAGAGUCCAGAGGAACCUUGAAAACUGCAUAGAGCUAGGUGAAAAAGCCAAAAAAGAAGACCGCAAG